rnacentral:rRNA from 1 species
UGGGGAAUCUUGCGCAAUGGGCGAAAGCCUGACGCAGCGACGCCGCGUGGGUGAUGAAGGCCCUCGGGUUGUAAAGCCCUGUGGGGAGGAACGAACCGUUCGGGGGUGAACAUCCUCCGAGCUUGACGGUACCUCCUUAGCAAGCAUCGGCUAACUCUGUGCCAGCAGCCGCGGUAAGACAGAGGAUGCGAACGUUGCUCGGAAUUACUGGGCGUAAAGCGCGCGCAGGUUGCCUUGUAAGUCGUGUGUGAAAUCCCUCUGCUCAACGGAGGAAGUGCACGGGAUACUGCAAGGCUGGAGUACAGAAGAGGACAGCGGAAUUCCCGGUGUAGAGGUGAAAUUCGUAGAUAUCGGGAGGAACACCAGUGGCGAAGGCGGCUGUCUGGGCUGAUACUGACAC